rnacentral:ncRNA from 1 species
GUUUGGGGUGCCCCGUUUGUAUCAGGGGCUGAGAACAUACCCAUGGGAUCUGAUCCGGAUAAUGCCGGCGUAGAGAACAUU